UUAUCCUGCUGGAAGAUGCCACAGCCACCAGUGAGUACUGUUUCCAUGAAAGGGUGUACAUGAUUUGCAACAAUGCUUCGGCAAGUGUGCAUCCUGAAGCCGGGUGUUCUCCAGUAAGCAACACACCAGAAAAAGAAGAAAGAAAGUGUGAUUCAUCAGACCAGGAUACCUUCUUUUAUUGCUCUGUGGUCCUGUCCUGAUGCUCGCAUGCACAUUGUUGG